rnacentral:rRNA from 1 species
GACGAACGCUGGCGGCGUGCUUAACACAUGCAAGUCGAACGGAAAGGCCCUGCUUUUGUGGGGUGCUCGUGUGGCGAACGGGUGAGUAACACGUGAGUAACCCGCCCUUGACUUUGGGAUAACUUCAGGAAACUGGGGCUAAUACCGGAUAGGAGCUCUUGCUGCAUGGUGGGGGUUGGAAAGUUUCGGCGGUUGGGGAUGGACUCGCGGCUUAUCAGCUUGUUGGUGGGGUAGUGGCUUACCAAGGCUUUGACGGGUCGCCGGCUUGAGAGGGGGACCGGCCACAUUGGGACUGAGGUACGGAGCAGAAUGGUACGGGAGGCAAUGGGGGAAAGUAUUACGCAGUAAGCGGAAGCGAGAGACGACAACGCCGCGUGCGGGAUAACGGCCUUCGAGUUAUGAACCGAUGUCGACUGAGACGAGGAGUGAGUGACGGUAAUUAGUAAGAAAGCACCGGCUAACUACGUG